GCCGGGGUGGUGAAAUUGGUAGACGCAGAGGACUCAAAAUCCUCCGGGGGCGACCCCAUGCGGGUUCGAUUCCCGCCCCCGGCACCA
rnacentral:tRNA from 1 species